UCGAACGUGGGCGUCGGCUAGGGGGUAAUAGCGAGGUCCCUAGGGUUGGUCGGGUUCACUGGGCGUAAAGGGUGCGGAGGUGGUUGGGUAAGGCUGAGGUGAAAGCGCCGAGCUCAACUCGGAAAUGGGAUUGGAAACUACCCUGAGGGGGGGUCGGAGGGGGGACUGGAAUUCUCGGUGUAGCAGUGAAAUGCGUAGAUAUCGAGAGGAACACCAGUGGCGAAGGCGAGUCCCUGGACGACUCCUGACACUGAGGCACGAAAGCUAGGGGAGCAAACAGGAUUAGAUACCCUUGUAGUC
rnacentral:rRNA from 1 species